rnacentral:rRNA from 1 species
GAGCACGCCGCGUGAGUGAUGAAGGUUUUCGGAUCGUAAAGCUCUGUUGUUAGGGAAGAACAAGUGCGAGAGUAACUGCUCGCACCUUGACGGUACCUAACCAGAAAGCCACGGCUAACUACGUGCCAGCAGCCGCGGUAAUACGUAGGUGGCAAGCGUUGUCCGGAAUUAUUGGGCGUAAAGGGCUCGCAGGCGGUUUCUUAAGUCUGAUGUGAAAGCCCCCGGCUCAACCGGGGAGGGUCAUUGGAAACUGGGAAACUUGAGUGCAGAAGAGGAGAGUGGAAUUCCACGUGUAGCGGUGAAAUGCGUAAAGAUGUGGAGGAACACCAGUGGCGAAGGCGACUCUCUGGUCUGUAACUGACGCUGAGGAGCGAAAGCGUGGGGAGCGAACAGGAUUAGAUACCCUGGUAGUCCACGCCGUAAACGAUGAGUGCUAAGUGUUAGGGGGUUUCCGCCCCUUAGUGCUGCAGCUAACGCAUUAAGCACUCC